UUGGCCGGGCGACGGUUGUCCCGGUUUAAGCGUGUAGGCUGGUUUUCCAGGCAAAUCCGGAAAAUCAAGGCUGAGGCGUGAUGACGAGGCACUACGGUGCUGAAGCAACAAAUGCCCUGCUUCCAGGAAAAGCCUCUAAGCAUCAGGUAACAUCAAAUCGUACCCCAAACCGACACAGGUGGUCAGGUAGAGAAUACCAAGGCGCUUGAGAGAACUCGGGUGAAGGAACUAGGCAAAAUGGUGCCGUAACUUCGGGAGAAGGCACGCUGAUAUGUAGGUGAAGCGACUUGCUCGUGGAGCUGAAAUCAGUCGAAGAUACCAGCUGGCUGCAACUGUUUAUUAAAAACACAGCACUGUGCAAACACGAAAGUGGACGUAUACGGUGUGACGCCUGCCCGGUGC
rnacentral:rRNA from 1 species